rnacentral:sRNA from 1 species
CCUUUGACUUGGCCACCUCGUCAACUGUAAGCAAUAGGUGCAACUCACAUGAUCGUCUUCGUCGGAAGCCGUGUUGUCGGUCUGCCUGUAAAAAGUUGCCGUCAUAAUGAACCAUAAUCUGGCUGUGACCUAUAUGUUCCAAUAACUUGCAUGAUAUGGAUGGUAAGGAGACUGGAAGGUAGCUGGAAGCUAGGUGUCACUCUCCUUUCUUAAAUAUGGGAAUAAUUGAUGCUUCUCGCCAGUCGUCUGGCACUUCCAAUAUCAAGUGAAAGUUGGAAUAGUUUGGUCAUGAUUGGUGCUAGUUCCAAAGCAAAGUCGUGUAGAAAUCUUGUUGGGACUGCAUCUGGUCGUGCAGCUUUGUGUACAUUUAGGCCCGUCAGUAGCUUAUACAAUAUGUACAAACCGUUGCUUCUUACAUGGAUGUUCUUCAUGUUUUGGUGUGGGCUGUCCCUUUUAGAUGGCUUAUCUGAAAGAAUCUUUGUUGUAUAAACUAAGUGGAACUGGUUAUUUAGGAAUUCUGCCUUGGACAAUGUGUUUCCAAACAAAAUUGACAAUAUUUAUUUUAUGCGAUUACCAAUGUGAUUCUAGCAGUAAAACUAGUAAAAAUGAACUAAUUUCCGAUCGAAUUAUUGUAUCAUAGUUGAAAAUGAACUUCGUGGUAGUGUUACACUUUUUAAUUUUUUGUUAAGGUAAAAAUGUGAUCUAUUUUUAACUGUCACGUGAUACCAUGGUAAUGCAUCUUCAAAGAUCGACUCGAUUCUUAAGUAGAAAUAUGAUAUCUUGGUGAACACAUUCACUUAGUAUUAAUAUUCAGCACUGUUUUCAUAAAAAUAAACAAUUUUUGAAAUAACCAUAAUAUCGACUGUCAUUAAACUCGGAAUUGCCUUAGCCUACCCGCGUGUUUUUUGGGGUUUUUUUGUUUUGGAGAGUGGGGUGGGGGUGUUUUUUGUUUUUUAUUUAAGGGAGAGGGGAUCUCUAGCCUACUUUGAAUCACAUUUGUAAGCUGGGUUGACCUUAUGAGUUAAUAAUUUUUUUAGACUGAUACCACUAUUCCUUAAAGAAGAAAAAUUAGCUAACUAAUCAACUAAUUUUUCUCUACAUUCACAAUAGCUUCGAAACGUUAAAAGUUUUCUUAAUAAGGAGAUUCAGUCGACAAGCAGUUUUGGAAUUUUAUUUAGCAGUUUAGCAAUUUGUUUUUAUGUUAUUUUUUAUUUUAAUGAAGUACCUCUUAAAUCAUUAUUCUUUCGUUUUUUGUUAAAAUAAAGCGAUCAAUACAAAUUACUAUACAUGUAUAUAUGAAACUCAUAUUCAUACCACUUACACAUUUUACUUUAAAUGAGAAAAUAUACUGUGGGAUCAUUAGAUUUCGUGGUUGCUCAAUUUUUGUGGAAUUCGAGGGCACCGCUCACCCACGAUUAACAUCCUCUACGAAUAAAUAAAUUAGGACUGUGAAGUCAUAUUUCAUUUUGUAAGUAUCCGAGAAUACACGAAAUUAAGUCCCAAAGAACCUAUAAAAUUGGAGCAAUCCACAAACAUUGCCCCUGCGAAUUUUAAUGAUUCCACUGUAGUUCUCGUUGAGAAAAAAAUUAAUACAGUGAAAACAAUAUUAACGAAUUUUGUUUUAUAUUGUAUCCCAGUGUAUUUAAUGUAAAAUAAAGAUGUGUUGUGAAUCAAUUAAUCAAUUAAUUGAUAAAGCG